CUCAAAAAUGUUGAACACUGAAUCUUAAUUGUUUCAAUACAUGUAUUGACUUUGAUCAGUCACGGGUGCAUUUGUUAUCUCAUUUCUUUGUUAAUUUAUUAAUUGUUAGUGAAUUUUAAUUCCAAGUCCACUUAUGACCAGUGUGUAUUGUCUGUGAUAUUUUCAGUGUUAAAUAGUUGCAGCAUUUCCUCCUUACUCCCACAAUAGAUUGGUCUACUUUCAUAAAACUUCAUUUUGAUAUACAUGUAUACCUGGUAUAUGGAGAAAAAAAAAACAUCAUCAAACUAUUUUUUUUUUGUUUUUUCUGUGAUAUUCUGUGAAAGCAGACCAAAAGUUGGUAAAAUCCAAUGUCCUUCAGUAUUAUUGGCUCACAUUUUAUCGAGUGUCAGAAAUUCAAUGUAUAUGUAUUUUUUACACAAUACAGUGGAAAAAAUGAAAUAAAGAAAAAAAUAUU
rnacentral:misc_RNA from 1 species